rnacentral:rRNA from 1 species
UACGUAGGGUGCGAGCGUUAAUCGGAAUUACUGGGCGUAAAGGGUGCGCAGGCGGUUUUGUAAGUCAGAUGUGAAAUCCCCGGGCUUAACCUGGGAACUGCGUUUGAAACUACAAGACUAGAGUGUGGCAGAGGGGGGUGGAAUUCCAUGUGUAGCAGUGAAAUGCGUAGAGAUAUGGAAGAACAUCGAUGGCGAAGGCAGCCCCCUGGGUUAACACUGACGCUCAUGCACGAAAGCGUGGGGAGCAAACAGG